GUUGAACGCUGGCGGCAGGCUUAACACAUGCAAGUCGAGCGGAGAUGAGGUGCUUGCACCUUAUCUUAGCGGCGGACGGGUGAGUAAUGCUUAGGAAUCUGCCUAUUAGUGGGGGACAACAUUCCGAAAGGAAUGCUAAUACCGCAUACGUCCUACGGGAGAAAGCAGGGGAUCUUCGGACAUUGCGCUAAUAGAUGAGCCUAAGUCGGAUUAGCUAGUUGGUGGGGUAGAGGCCUACCAAGGCGACGAUCUGUAGAGGGUCUGAGAGGAUGAUCCGCCACACUGGGACUGAGACACGGCCCAGACUCCUACGGGAGGCAGCAGUGGGGAAUAUUGGACAAUGGGGGGAACCCUGAUCCAGCCAUGCCGCGUGUGUGAAGAAGGCCUUAUGGUUGUAAAGCACUUUAAGCGAGGAGGAGGCUACUGAGACUAAUACUCUUGGAUAGUGGACGUUACUCGCAGAAUAAGCACCGGCUAACUCUGUGCCAGCCGCCGCCGUAAGAC
rnacentral:rRNA from 1 species